rnacentral:rRNA from 13 species
AGAGUUUGAUCCUGGCUCAGGAUGAACGCUGGCGGCGUGCCUAAUACAUGCAAGUCGAACGCGAGCACUUGUGCUCGAGUGGCGAACGGGUGAGUAAUACAUAAGUAACCUGCCCUAGACAGGGGGAUAACUAUUGGAAACGAUAGCUAAGACCGCAUAGGUACGGACACUGCAUGGUGACCGUAUUAAAAGUGCCUCAAAGCACUGGUAGAGGAUGGACUUAUGGCGCAUUAGCUGGUUGGCGGGGUAACGGCCCACCAAGGCGACGAUGCGUAGCCGACCUGAGAGGGUGACCGGCCACACUGGGACUGAGACACGGCCCAGACUCCUACGGGAGGCAGCAGUAGGGAAUUUUCGGCAAUGGGGGAAACCCUGACCGAGCAACGCCGCGUGAAGGAAGAAGGUUUUCGGAUUGUAAACUUCUGUUAUAAAGGAAGAACGGCGGCUACAGGAAAUGGUAGCCGAGUGACGGUACUUUAUUAGAAAGCCACGGCUAACUACGUGCCAGCAGCCGCGGU